GGGGGGUGCGCAGGAUCUUGGGCUGUGUCCCCUGGCGCCCUGGGCUCCGGGGCCUGCGCCGCUGGAAUCGCACUCCCGGGGCUGCGCAGCCCCCU
rnacentral:pre_miRNA from 1 species